rnacentral:rRNA from 1 species
ACUCCUACGGGAGGCAGCAGUGAGGAAUAUUGCGCAAUGGGCGAAAGCCUGACGCAGCGACACCGCGUGAAGGAUGAAGGCUUUCGAGUCGUAAACUUCUGUUAAGUGGGAAGAAAAGCUCAUUUCUAAUAAAAUGAGUAAUGACGGUACCAUUAGAGAAAGCACCGGCUAAACUCGUGCCAGCAGCCGCGGUAAUACGAGUGGUGCAAGCGUUAUUCGGAAUCAUUGGGCGUAAAGGGUGCGUAGGCGGCAUGCUAAGUCAACUGUUAAAUCUUCCGGCCUAACUGGAAGCUUGCAGUAGAUACUGGUGUGCUAGAGGUUGGAAGAGAGAAGUGGAAUUCUCGGAGUAGCGGUAAAAUGCGUAGAUCUCGAGAGGAACACCGAUGGCGAAGGCAGCUUCUUGGUCCAAAUCUGACGCUCAGAUGCGAAAGCGUGGGGGAGCAAACAGGAUUAGAUACCCUGGUAGGCUCUGCU